UCGAAUUCUGAGCGAGUAGGAGAAUUUUUACUUUUUUUAGUGGUCGGAGGUGGCUCCGGUAUGGUGGCGAUUGGCGGUUAGCUUCUUUCUCCGACGUCUGGUUCUUCUUCUCCGAUGGGAGAGGGAGGGGGGAAGGCUAGCGGAUAGGGUUCGGGAUUUGUGUGAUGUAAAAUAUUUAUAUCCAUCCUGAAUUAAUUUGGGUCGUCCAUCGCGAUCGAUCUCGUCCAUCCGAUCAAGCCUAAGGAGGAAACGAAUUUGUACUGUUCAUUGCAUUUGAUCUCGACCAUUCGAUCGUGCCUAAGGGGAAACAAAUUUGGACCAUUCAUCGCAUUUGAUCUCGAUCGUUCGAUCACACCUACGGAGGAAACGGAUCCAGACCGUCCACGCGUGCGGGAUUGAUCAUGGAUCGUCUGAUCGCGGAGCACGCGGAUCGCCAACAAAGC
rnacentral:lncRNA from 1 species